rnacentral:tRNA from 4 species
CAUAUAGCUCAGUCGGUAGAGCACUUCCUUGGUAAGGAAGAGGUCACCGGUUCAAAUCCGGUUAUGG